rnacentral:rRNA from 1 species
UAGGGAAUAUUGCGCAAUGGGGGAAACCCUGACGCAGCCACGCCGUGUGAGUGAGGAAGGCCUUCGGGUUGUAAAGCUCUGUCAUCGGGGAAGAAACUCUAUCUGGGGAAAGUUCAGGUAGAUUGACGGUACCCGAGGAGGAAGCACCGGCUAACUCUGUGCCAGCAGCCGCGGUAAUACAGAGGGUGCGAGCGUUGUUCGGAAUUACUGGGCGUAAAGCGUUUGUAGGCGGUGCUGAGAGUCCUAGGUGAAAUCCCCGAGCUCAACUCGGGAACUGCCUAGGAGACCUCAGUACUAGAGUACUGAAGGGGUUGCUGGAAUUCCAUGUGUAGCGGUGAAAUGCGUAGAUAUAUGGAGGAACACCUGUGGCGAAGGCGGGCAACUGGUCAGAGACUGACGCUGAGAAACGAAAGCGUGGGGAGCAAACA